ACUCUCAUUACAACCCCAAACUUGAACUGUUACUUGUCCUCAAGUGACAUGCCUGUCAAAACAAAACUGUCAGGGAAUUAACAAAUUAAUUUGAAUGAUAAAAAUCUCAUAAACCUUUUUCUCUUCAUCCGGCAAUAGAACCACCGGUCUUAACUUCAGUGAUUCUGCUCAAUCAACACUCUGACUUCUAAGACUUCGAUAAGAUUAAGUCCAAUGACUGUUCCACACGAUGUUCAAGGUUCAACCUUAUCUCUCACUCACCAAUUCACUCAAUUUGACAGGGUAUUCACUCCAUCAACAUGCAAAUGCUAUUUUACCAUAAGCUUGAAAAAAUUCUAAACGUCAAUCAAAGUAAAUACAUCACACACAUUUUUGACGUCUUGAGGGUUAUAACUUGGCUUGGCUAAAUGGUGGGAUAAUUUUGGGAAAAGUAGGCUAAAUUGGAGUUAGGUAUCCACUACUAUUCCUUAAUGAAAAAUUACUAUUACCGGGGCUCACUUCAUUGCUAAUAAGAUACUUAGAGAACUUAUCUUUCAAUUUUUUUUUAUUUUUUUUUUUUAAGAUGCCACUAUUUUUCAUGCUUAAUGGCUCUUUAUAUAUUUUUUUUGGAAGAAACUCCAUUAUUUUUGUAAGUCUUUGUUAUUCUCUUCNNNNNNNNNNNNNNNNNNNNNNNNNNNNNNNNNNNUCUUUUUUUUUUUCAAGUUCUCUAGUAUCCCUACCCCAAACUUAAGAUGUUGCUAAUUCCAUAAGCAACCCCAAACUUAUAAUGACGCCAUGACAAGGAAAUUUAAAGCUUCUACCUAACUCCAAAGAGGGCAAACAGAUAAAAAUUUUCAGGUCUUAAAGGCUUAUAAUUUGGUAUGUCACCGAAAGAAAGGGGGAUAUUUUUUUUUUUUUUAGGCUCAAAAUGGUUUAGCAACGGAUAAAUAAUAAACAUGGUAGCUUGAAAAGGCUUAGAGUACCAAACAAAUGUGCCUCUAUGUGUGCAAAUGUAAAACCAAUCAACAGUAAAGAAUAGUCGCAAGUUCUAGAAAAUAUACAAAUCAUGGAUACUCUAAUAAGAUGUGAAAGAAAAAGUAUACCGUGGAAUUUCUUUGGCUCAAUAUGCUCACCAGCUNNCUCCAUCUUUCCUAUUCAUCUCUUUGUCUCUUGAACCAUCGCGCUUUCAUGAGCAGUUACACGUCAGAUAUUCUUUUAUGUGCAAGUCUAAGAGAUUCUCAUCAUGCAAAUUCAGGUGUUAACACACUGAGAAUUCUAAAAAGACAUAAAAACAUUCAACUUGAUAAUAAACAAAGUAACAUAGGAUGAAACAUAGGGGAUUGUCAGCAAACAACAACCAUGACUGACUCUUUUUUUUUUUU
rnacentral:lncRNA from 1 species